rfam:Tllucus polerovirus 1 isolate TPolV1, partial genome
UAUAGUAAGCCAAGCAUACAUCAGUUGCAAGCAUUGGAAUACUUAGCCUGAUUACCA